rnacentral:lncRNA from 1 species
CAGGUAGACCUCACAAGGAAAGAUAUAAAAUAUUUGAUGAAAUAAACUCAAAGAAGUACAAGGUGUCAUGUGGAAAUUGUGGAGGUGAAGGGUAUAAUAAAAGAACUUGCAAGAAUGCGCCGAAAAAGAAAUGAAUAUCAUGUAGCUAGAAUAGUUAUUCAGAAUGUUAGUGAGCUCAAAUUAUCGGAUGAAGGUCAUGAACUUACUUGAAUAGGAUCUGCUCUAUAGGCUCGUACCACUGUAUCCUUGAGUUCUUAGGAGACAGAAAACCAAGUCUGGUUGAUGAGACAUGGCCAUUUGACCAGAGCGUGAUUAACAGCUCCCAUGGCCCUCGGGCUAUGGUGCCGUAGAUGAUCGUUCUCAGCCCCUGACCACUGGUGCUGAGAUGAUCUAAUGGUUGUCUGACAUACUCUCUAAAUAUUUUUGGUUUUCUCCAUUUCUGUUACUGGAAGCUGAGCUUCAGCCAUCCUGCAAAUUACAACAUAGAUGACUGUUACAAUGGGCUGCUACAUUCACUUCACCUAAUUGUAACUUAUACCAAAAGUUUUUAUUUCUUUAAAAAGGUAAAAUAUACUCAACAUGAGAAUGUAAAAUUUGGAAUGACGAAGAUGAAGUUCACGACCUUACUUGAACAGGAUCUGUUCUAUAGGCUCGUACCACUGUAUCCUUGAGUUCUAAGGAGAUAGAAAACCAAGUCUGGUUGAUGAGACAACGAAGGUGAAGUUCACGAC